rnacentral:rRNA from 1 species
AUUGAACGCUGGCGGCAGGCCUAACACAUGCAAGUCGAGCGGAUGAAGGGAGCUUGCUCCUGGAUUCAGCUGCGGACGGGUGAGUAAUGCCUAGGAAUCUGCCUGGUAGUGGGGGAUAACGUCCGGAAACGGGCGCUAAUACCGCAUACGUCCUGAGGGAGAAAGUGGUGGAUCUUCGGACCUCACGCUAUCAGAUGAGCCUAGGUCGUAUUAGCUAGUUGGUGGGGUAAAGGCCUACCAAGGCGACGAUCCGUAACUGGUCUGAGAGGGUGAUCAGUCACACUGGAACUGAGACACGGUCCAGGCUCCUACGGGAGGCAGCAGUGGGGAAUAUUGGACAAUGGGCGAAAGCCUGAUCCAGCCAUGCCGCGUGUGUGAAGAAGGUCUUCGGAUUGUAAAGCACUUUAAGUUGGGAGGAAGGGCAGUAAGUUAAUACCUUGCUGUUUUGACGUUACCAACAGAAUAAGCACCGGCUAACUUCGUG